rnacentral:lncRNA from 1 species
CUGGGGCCAAACCGAAUGUUUUUUUUGGGUUGAUUUUUGUACCAUAUCAUAAAGUAAUAACUAACAGUGUAAUAAAUAAAAUUUGUAAUGAAAAAAUAAAGGUUUAAUUUUUUGCUGAAAUUUUUGUACCCACGAGCCACCUUAACUUCAUCUAAAUUUUAGUUUUAGUUAUCCUCUUGUAUUUUAAGUCUUGAGUAAACAUUGUAUAUUUUAU